rnacentral:rRNA from 1 species
UACGGAGGGAGCUAGCGUUGUUCGGAAUUACUGGGCGUAAAGCGCACGUAGGCGGCUUUGUAAGUUAGAGGUGAAAGCCCGGGGCUCAACCCCGGGUCGGCCGUGCGAACUGUCGAGCUGGAGCACUGUAGAGGCAGGUGGAAUUCCGGGUGUAGCGGUGGAAUGCGUAGAGAUCCGGAAGAACACCGGUGGCGAAGGCGGCCUGCUGGGCAGUGGCUGACGCUGAGGCGCGACAGCGUGGGAGCAACAGG